UACGGAGGGGGGCUAGCGUUGUUCGGAAUUACUGGGCGUAAAGCGCGCGUAGGCGGACCUGCAAGUCGGGGGUGAAAGCCCGAGGCUCAACCUCGGAACUGCCUUCGAUACUGCGGGUCUCGAGUUCGGGAGAGGUGAGUGGAAUUCCUAGUGUAGAGGUGAAAAUUCGUAGAUAUUAGGAAGAACACCAGUGGCGAAGGCGGCUCACUGGCCCGGUACUGACGCUGAGGCGCGAAAGCGUGGGGGAGCAAAACAGG
rnacentral:rRNA from 1 species